rnacentral:rRNA from 1 species
UGGUGGAGUGAUUUGUCUGGUUAAUUCCGUUAACGAACGAGACCUCAACCUGCUAAAUAGUUCGUCGAAUCCUUUUGGAUUCGGGCGUGACUUCUUAGAGGGACUAUUGGUGUUUAGCCAAUGGAAGUUUGAGGCAAUAACA